UACGAAGGGGGCUAGCGUUGUUCGGAAUUACUGGGCGUAAAGCGCGCGUAGGCGGUGAUCUUUGUCAGAGGUGAAAGCCCGGGGCUCAACUCCGGAAUUGCCUUUGAAACGGGAUCGCUAGAGUCCGAGAGAGGAUGGCGGAAUUCCUAGUGUAGAGGUGAAAUUCGUAGAUAUCGGGAGGAACACCAGUGGCGAAGGCGGCUCUCUGGACCGAAACUGACGCUGAGACGCGAAAGCGUGGGGAGCAAACAGG
rnacentral:rRNA from 1 species